UAGGGAAUCUUCGGCAAUGGACGAAAGUCUGACCGAGCAACGCCGCGUGAGUGAAGAAGGUUUUCGGAUCGUAAAACUCUGUUGUUAGAGAAGAACAAGGACGUUAGUAACUGAACGUCCCCUGACGGUAUCUAACCAGAAAGCCACGGCUAACUACGUGCCAGCAGCCGCGGUAAUACGUAGGUGGCAAGCGUGGUCCGGAUUUAUUGGGCGUAAAGCGAGCGCAGGCGGUUUCUUAAGUCUGAUGUGAAAGCCCCCGGCUCAACCGGGGAGGGUCAUUGGAAACUGGGAGACGUGAGUGCAGAAGAGGAGAGUGGAAUUCCAUGUGUAGCGGUGAAAUGCGUAGAUAUAUGGAGGAACACCAGUCGCGAAGGCGGCUCUCUGGUCUGUAACUGACGCUGAGGCUCGAAAGCGUGGGGAGCAAACAGG
rnacentral:rRNA from 1 species